CCUACGGGAGGCAGCAGUGGGGAAUAUUGGACAAUGGGGGGAACCCUGAUCCAGCGACGCCGCGUGAGUGAAGAAGUAUUUCGGUAUGUAAAGCUCUAUCAGCAGGGAAGAAAGAAAUGACGGUACCUGACUAAGAAGCCCCGGCUAACUACGUGCCAGCAGCCGCGGUAAUACGUAGGGGGCAAGCGUUAUUCGGAUUUACUGGGUGUAAAGGGAGCGUAGACGGCGAUGCAAGUCUGAAGUGAAAGGCGGGGGCGCAACCCCCGGACUGCUUUGGAAACUGUAUGGCUGGAGUGCAGGAGAGGUAAGUGGAAUUCCUAGUGUAGCGGUGAAAUGCGUAGAUAUUAGGAGGAACACCAGUGGCGAAGGCGGCUUACUGGACUGUAACUGACAUUGAGGCUCGAAAGCGUGGGGAGCAAACAGGAUUAGAUACCCUAGUAGUC
rnacentral:rRNA from 1 species